rnacentral:lncRNA from 1 species
GGUAAUCCACAUUCUACGAUCUUUUUCUUUCCUUUCCUUUGCAGAGAAUCAACACUUUCCUUUGAUAGAAUAUUCCUUUGCACACCUUGUUGACCAGUAGACAUGUUAUGUGAUUCCCCUUCUUGCCCAAUUAGGGCCUUAAAUCUUGAGCCGGAUUUUCUAGACGUUGAUGGCGAUUCUGUAGGACUUUCCUUCUUUUGAUUUCUGCGAGGUCUAUGUUGGGCAUGGAUCCAGGGACCAUAUUGACCCGACCAGUCAGUUGCAAGCGAGACCUCCAAUGUCUCUCCAUGGCGGUUAGCCAUAUUUUCCUCCAUACUCCUUUUGUUAGGGCACAUGACUUGACUAUGUCCAACAAUUCCACAUUCAAAACACACUUGAGGUUCGUAUUCAACUUUUUGCAUGAAUCAUUCAGACUGGUGAGCAAAGGUUUCUUCAAGUUCGACUGCGACACGCGCAAACUGCUCUCUAUUUGCUAGUUGAGUAUUCAUAUCAACUGUAAUUGUUUUCCUAACAACGUUGCCAAUUGUCUCUAAAAUUUGCUCAUACUAGUACUGCAUUGACAUCUUUGGAAGUCUGACCCAAGACAUCAUUGAGGAAACCACUGCAUUGGUUGCCCAAAAUUUCAGAAUCCAUUCUUGUACAGUUAAGUAAUGGCCAAGAAUAGUCCAAGGACCAUCCAAAAUUAUGUGUUCCAAAUCCUCCUUAAGGGCUAGUUUAAUCAAGAAAAAUCCAUUGUCAAGAUCAAUAACUUUGUAAUGACCUCGCAGCUUCCAGAUAGUCAUGAUUCCAUUGCAUAAAUUUUAUAACCCAAAGGUCUACCCCAUAAUUUAACUACAAUGAAGUUCUCCCGUUGCGAAACUCAUUUGAUAACAUGAUACUAGGACCAGAAGGCUCCAAAUGGACUAUAAUAUCACCUUAAAUUCAAUAUAAAAAAUUAUAUCAAAAUACAUCUCAUCCGGGUUCACUAGAAGGCUUUCUUUAUAAGUCUUCAGGGCAUUAUCCUCCAUAUCCAUAUCUUGCUGAUGCUCAAUGUUUUGAUCUGAAUCCAUACAUGAAUUCUCCAUAUUGAUAUUACUGUGAAACUUGACUUUCAUAGUAGGGCGGUCUUCGUUAGACAGGAGAGGAAGGUUUUCCUCAAGAGAAUUUUCCAUCCCACUUUUACUAGUUUUUUUUUCUUUCUCUAUUACUUUCCUCUACUCUUUUUCCUUCCCAUUCCCCUGUAAUUUCUAAAUCCUAAUCAAUGCUCAUUGCACAAACACGUCUUAUCAAUUAUAGUACGAGGUAAUUACUAUAUAAGAUUUUUUUUUUCUUUUAUAUAACUUAUAGACAAUACCAAUUAUAUAGUAACAUAUAAUACUAAUUAUGUAGUGAUAUAUGAUACCAACUAUAUAGUGAUAUGUGAUAUUAUCUACCGAUAACAUGGUAUUAUAUGUUUUUUUAUAUUUUUUAUAUUGGCGUUAUUUAUCUCUUAAUAUUUUAAAUUUAUAUUUUUUUAUCUUUCUAUAUUUUAAUUUUAUAUUAAAAAAAUUUAUUUUAUAAUUUUAUAUUAAAUAGUAAUUCCACUCUAAAUUUCAUAAAACAAUGUUAACUAGGUGGUUUUAUAUUAUUUCUUAUCUAAAUUACUUCUUAAAUUUUGUUUAUUAUACUAAAUAUUUUAUAUUUUUAAAGUCAAUAUAAUUAUAAAAUUAAAAUAAUAGAAAAAGGAUAAGUUGGUCCUUGAACUUUCUUAUUAAAGUUAUAAUUAAUUUACAAAAUAAAUAAUAAGAAAAAUGUUUAUUUUAUUUUAAUAAUUUAAAGUCAAAUUAUAUAAAUUUUUAUAUUUUACUAAAUAAAAAUACUUUUAAAAUAUUUAAACUUUAUUAAAAUUAAAUUAUGCUAAGAAUUAAAAUAAGUAAAAAAUAUUAAUUAAUUAUUUUUAUAUAAAUGCUAAAGUUAGAUAUUGUAAAAAUACAUAUUUAUUUUGAUUGAUAUAAAUAAUUUUAUACGAGUCUGAUAGUUAAAUAUAACAAAUUACAUUGUGACAAAUGAGAACCGGCAAAAUUCGGUAUUAACGUGCUAAUAAAUUCUAUAAAAAAUAGAUGGGUUAAUCUAAGGGCUCAUGAGUUUCUGUAUUUUCAUUACCAUUUUCUUCAAUUCUGUUGAUGCUUCUACAUAUAUGAACUGGGUCCAUCUUCAAUUGUUUUUGGUUAUUCAAUUCUGUUAGUUGAUGCAAGCAAAAAAAAACUCAGCUCCCACAGGCUGAAAACUCUCUUCUUUUUCUUCGCUUGUAAUAGCAUUUGAAUUUGCUUUCCACGUUAAGAGGGAAGCACUCCAGAUUGACUUCACCUGGAUCACUUCCUGGGUUCAUCACAGGAUUAAUAAGCCCUUCACCACUGGCACUAUACUAUUGCUAGUGCUAUUGCUUGCAGAAAUCCUGGUGGAAAAAGAAAUGGUCACUCCUCAGGUGUCAGAAAGCAUUUCCAGGACAUAGAUAUUCUGAUCUGGAAAUACUAAGACCAGUAGUAACAAUAGUCAUUUUGUAUAUUAGUCCUAACUUCUAGAUAAAGGAACCGAAAUACCUACCCUGAAUUUCCAUGUUCCACAAUUUCAGCCCCAGUUGUAUGUGCUUGAAGUACUUCAGAGACGGGACUGGGUCCCUUCAGAUCAAUGUUAUCACCAUUUCCACAGGCAUCUUCCUGAACCAUGGGCUGAACUUCUGCAAAAUAGAAUCAAGAACAUGUCCGACAGUGAGUACAAUAGUGCCAAUAUUUUGCUUCUCGUCAAAUAUUUGUAACUGAAGUAAUUAAAACUAACCUGUUAAUGGACUUGAAUCUGCAGAAGGGGUCUUCAUUAACAGCUUGUGGCACAUUACAGUAUCCUGGAAAUCCAAGAAACUGUAAUCUUUCAGAUUCUGUCAGUUUUCAAAAUCCAAAUGAACCCGUCCAUGUGUUUAAAACGCUAGGAACAGCAGCUAAAAUCAGUCUCUGGACUCCUAAUUCCUUCAGCUUCUGAAAGAAGAAAAACAAUUGAAAAGAACAUAUAGCGAUGAGAAAAAAUUUCAGCCCAUGAGAAUAUCUUCUUCAUUCUCCCUGAGAUAAGAGUAGAAUCUACAGGUUACCUUUUCAAGCACAUUCAUUAGUAUGCCACACAUUCCAAGUCGACGGUACUGAACUCUAGUGCCAACAAGUGGUAUUUCUGCCACCUUCUCUCCAUAGACCCUUGAACAAGAAAAAAGAUUUUCAGAUCCCCAUAUUGUCUAAAGUAGGACAUGUAUAAUAAUAUCUAAUUAACAAAAAUAUACCUAACUGUAGCCACUGUAAUAAAUUCAUCAUCCUUCUGCAGAAGAACUGUAUAGAAUCCUCGAAAAUUCAGACGGUUGAGUUCUGACCUGCAAAAGCCAAAAUGACAACUGAAAGGUUCAGUACCCGUUCUCUAGUUCUUAUGGAGAAACUGAUAAACAAAGUACCUAAAUGUAUACAAGUAUUAGUUAAAUAUAUAGCAUAAUAGAGAAUCAAGACCUGCCAAGCUCAAUCAUUUGACAUUUGAACUUCAAAAGAAGGAAAAUUUUAAGCUCUGCAUGCCAUUAUUUUCCAACCAGAAAAGGAAUUUAGCCAUUCAGAUUUUGUUUAAUAAGAGUUUCUUACCUUUUUCUGAAAAUAACAUCUUUAAGAAAAUCUCCCUUGGUGCGGGGUUCUUCAACAGGCUGAAAACACUCAUGCAUCACAUGAAGUGCAAUACUGAGCUUGCUGUAGUUCUCAAUAUCAGAAGCAUCAGGUUUGUGAUCACUGGAGUGGUUGGAUUUUAACAGUGUCCAAGUAAGAUUGUUUAAACCUACUGGAAUUUGUUUUCCUAGAAGCUCAUGGAGGCCCAAGAAAAUCUGCAAAAAUUGCGCAAUUAUUUGUAGCAAAUUGAAGAUUGGACAAUGUACACUACAACAGGCAAUCUAU